rnacentral:tRNA from 1 species
GACUGGAUAGCCUAGCAGUAAAGGCAACACAUUGACAAUGCUGAGGUCCCAGGUUCACUUCCUGGUCUAGUCA